CAAAUACUCCCUCCGUCCCAAAAUAAGUGUCUUAACUUUGUACUAGCUCUAAUACAAAUUUGUACUAAGCUCAAGACACUUAUUUUGGGACGGAGGGAGUAUUUA
rnacentral:pre_miRNA from 1 species